rnacentral:misc_RNA from 1 species
AAAGUGCGAUAAUUAAUGUGAAUUGCAUAUGCUUGUGAAUCAUCAAGUUUUCGAACGCAGCUUGCACUCUAUCCUUUACGGAUUGAGUAUACCUGUUUGAGCGUUUGUAAAGACUAUAAACACAUUAGUGUUUGUAUGGGCUGAUACGCGUCUUGUGCGUGUAGAGCCUUAAAGGUAGUUUAUAUGCGUACGGUGAGCUAGCGCGGCGUUAUGUAGUAUAAUGGUGUUGUUGUUGGGUGUGUGUAUCAUCACACACACACACACGCACACAUAUAACUACUGACGACACGACACCUAUGCGCACACAACAUACAAACUUUAAACCUCAAAUCAGGUAGGAUUACCCGCUGAACUUAA